UGUGAUGGCGAUUGCACUGAAUCUG
rnacentral:misc_RNA from 1 species